rnacentral:misc_RNA from 1 species
GAUGAAGAACGCAGCGAAAUGCGAUAAGUAAUGUGAAUUGCAGAAUUCAGUGAAUCAUCGAAUCUUUGAACGCACAUUGCGCCCCUUGGUAUCCCGAGGGGCAUGCCUGUUCGAGCGUCAUUUCACCACUCAAGCCUGGCUUGGUGUUGGGCGACGUCCCCUUUAGGGACGCGCCUCGAAACGCUCGGCGGCGCGGCACCGGCUUUAAGCGUAGCAGAAUCUUUCGCUUUGGAAGUCGGGGCCCCGCCUGCCGGAAUACCUACUCGCAAGGUUGACCUCGGAUCAGGCAGGGAUACCCGCUGAACUUAAGCAUAUCAAUAAGCGGAGGA